rnacentral:lncRNA from 1 species
ACAUCUUGCUCUGAAAAACGACCACACCGACGCUUUUAAUCUCUUACAUGGAUGGCUUCGAAAGAACCGUUGUGGAGGAGGCAAGGAUUUGGAAAGAAAGGUUGUGAAUUGGAGAGAUGAUGAUGACAACACUGCGUUGCACAUUGCAGCUACAAAGCAACAACAUCAGGUAUAUAUGCAAUAUAAUGAUAAGUUGCGUUCCUUUGAUCAUUUUAUUAAUUAUGACUAUUUAUAAUAUACUAUGCAGGCAGUACAACUGUUGUUGGAGUCCUUUUAUGGGUUAGAUGCAAACGCUAAGAACUCGGAAGGUUUGACAGCUCGAGAAAUCAUAGAAAGGGUUGAAAGACAAGGGCUGAACAUGAGUGGCGCCGAAGACGAUGAUACCACCACCGCCAAGAUUGAGCGCAUUAAGAACAGAACUAGUAGGUCUGAAAGAGCAUUAGUAAAGUUGAUUCGUGCAAGGAAUGGGUUGUCAGAGAACAUGCUCAACGCAACACUGGUGGUAGCGGCGCUGGUCAUAACAGCAAUCUACCAGUCAUCUUUAAGCCCACCAAGAGGUCUUUGGCAAGGUGAUAACACUAUCCGCACCACCACCUCAAACCUUACUUCUACUACUAAAUUUACACUCUUUAACGACAAUUACGAUAUAGCAAGUUCUAGACAUGUGUUGGGUGAAGAAACAAGGAAAACUGGUACAACAAUCAUGAACCCCAACUUGUUUUUAGGGUUUUGGUUAUUCAAUUUAAUAGCAUUUGGGCUUCCAGUUCUUCUAACCGUUUUGCUUUUAUCCAAUGUACCUAGUAUUCUUCUCAUCCCGCUUUAUUAUCUAUCCGUCUCCUACUUCAACUGCAUGACAAUAAUAUCUCCUUCCUCGUUUUGGGCAAGCAUCAACUAUGUUAUCAUGUGGGCAGCAAUUGGUCUCCCGUUGCUCUUAGUUGUUAGAAGCGUAUGGUUAUGGAAGCAGCCAAAGUACAGGGAAAUCAGACAAUUACGCAGACUUUUCCGCAAGUAAAAUAAUGUUGGAACCAUUCAACGGUUGCGAAUGUCAAUGUUGUUUAUAUGUUCUCUUACGUUAUGUACUUUUUUCCAUUUUCGGUAAAAAAUUUAUGUAAUUGUUUUGGAUAAAUUUAAUAAAUAAGAUUACUUUUUCCAACAAUAUCUUUGUCCUUUGCAACAGAAAAAAAAAACAUAGAAAAACCAACCAUCCUAUUUUAUAAUUUAAAAGAAUAUUUUCCUUUUUGUAAAAAGAGAUAUUUUCGAAGUAUUGUUAAUUCAAAAUUAACAAAUUUUUUAAUAAAUCGAUAUUAUUCUCUAAAUAUUUUCUAAAAAAAAUACAAAUUCAUAAACAACAGCUAUAUUCUUUUUCGUUGUGAUUUCGGCAAUAUAAGGCCGAAUUAAAUUUGUAAAAAGGGGUUACGAAGAUUGUAUCAAGAAACGAUUAGAAGAAUAUAAAAAAAAAAACAACACAGAGAAAAAUAGCAAUUUGGAGAGGUGAUUUUCUCUUUGGGAUUUUCUUUUCAUUUUUUCCUUUUGAUUUACUGUUUUUUGCAUAAAACAAAUAGAAAAGAAAAGGAGGAACCAUACCUGGGAGGCGUGCUUCCGAAGCCCUUCCUUGUUCUGUGCAGGGUGCAGAAUGAAGGAGUAGAGGGCUUUUGGGAAGAAGCGGCGCACGCAGGAGAGGAAUAACCUAG